rnacentral:lncRNA from 1 species
UCAUCUAACUUAAUAGGAGGCUAUGAUUUAGUUAUCACUAUCAUUAUUUCAUUUUAAAGACCUAAUAAUUUAGAGAAUUUAGUUCACAUAUUUUAAGAGAAAGAAGAGAAAUUGAUCUGUAAGUCGUAAAUUCUCCGACUGACUUCACCAAGUCAGAUCAAAGAAGAUUAGAGACAAGCCGAUCCAGGGGCACCUAAAUCAGUCAUAUUGAUUUACCUAUGCAGCAUGGGUUAGCUUGAAUCAAUGAGCAACUUAAUCAAAAGCUGAUUGAGCACAUUAGCCAGGUAAG